CAGCAGCCGCGGUAAUACGUAGGGUGCGAGCGUUAAUCGGAAUUACUGGGCGUAAAGCGGGCGCAGACGGUUACUUAAGCAGGAUGUGAAAUCCCCGGGCUCAACCUGGGAACUGCGUUCCGAACUGGGUAACUAGAGUGUGUCAGAGGGAGGUAGAAUUCCACGUGUAGCAGUGAAAUGCGUAGAGAUGUGGAGGAAUACCGAUGGCGAAGGCAGCCUCCUGGGAUAACACUGACGCUCAUGCCCGAAAGCGUGGGUAGCAAACAGGAUUAGAUACCCCCGUAGUCCCUGUCUCUUAUAU
rnacentral:rRNA from 1 species